rnacentral:lncRNA from 1 species
GAAAUGUGAUGUCGUCGUUUCAGAACACCCACCCCAUGCUGACCAAGGAGCAAUCUACCCACCAGCACAAUGAAAAGCACUGCACAUCUUUCGGCUGCAGAUGCGAGGAUGAAGAAGGGAGCGAGAUUAGCUGCCCUGAGAACCAGGAGGACACCUGCAAGAGUUGUGCUGUGCGGGGCUCUCAGCAUGAAGACGAGGCUCCUGCUUCCCUCCACACGGACCUCAGAUGGAGAAAGUGAAGGUCCUUGGGCUGUUUCUGGGGUGAGGGGCUGGGGGCCUCCGCAGCAUGAGCAGGUGCUGAGACUCAGCAGGGCUCUUGGUGCUGGUGGGGCAGUGCUCAGCUGGGGCAGGACAGGAUGGGGCUUCCUUUCUCCUGCCACAGCUCUGCCUUUAGGUCCACAGGCCUAGGUCAGCGCCCUGCCCACCUGCUCCAUACCACACGCUGUCUGGGAGGACCAGGUGCCUCAGACUCCUGUAGUUGGGACCACCCGGAGGGUGCAAUUCAAUUAUCUUGGGCUUCAGAGACCCACAGAAUCCACCACCCGGCCCCCACUCCCUAGCCAGGUAAUUAAAUGAAUGAUGCAAAAAAGGAAAAAGGAUUGGUCAAGCUUUUUUGGAUGUAACUGAAAAGCAUACUUUCUCAUCUUUUAUAUUCAUCCCAACAAAGGUAACCCUAUUUUAAAGCCCUGUAUUUGUAUCCUGUGUGACCGAGACUAAUUUAACCCAAAGUAAGACAAGCGUCACGCUCCGCCUGAGGCCAGCGGCCGCUCCUGCCUCUUGUGAGCAUCACUCACCUCAAACUCUCACACAUUGUAAUACUCGAGAAGCUUAGGCCUGGAAGGGCUGUGUCUCCGUGGGUCGACCCAGGAGACUUUGCACAGAAUUGUCCCUUUACAUGAAGUCAGUGUCAGGCACAGCCAAAAGUUUUUGGGUUACCUCUUUGUAAAUCAACAGUUGAGAUUGUUGUUGUGCGUACGUGGGUGUGGCUGGAAUCAAAUGCCCUCUGUGACCAACAGUUCUUUCUUCACACUGCACUGCUUUCAUGCUGGUUCUCAUGAAUAAAACAUAUUCACAUGACAGCUUGUACUUUUCCGUCUUUGCUCGGCUUAUGCAGAUAGCCACUUCCUUCAGGCAGUGUGAGGAGAGUCUGGCCCCUGUGGGGAGUGCUAUGAAGAGGCUCCCAGCAGCUCAGAGUUGUUGCAGAGCAAGCAGAGGGCCCACCCGGGAAAGGGAGGUGUCCUUGACUCUGGGUGCAUAAAUUAGUCCACCUGCUUCCCUUAACAAGCGUGUUUGCUUUCCAGGACAAAAGAAACCCCACUAAAUUUCUCUUUCUGGGAACAGAUGUCUGUGUACCCUGUCAGGCAGGCCGGCAG